rnacentral:misc_RNA from 1 species
GUGAAUCAUCGAAUCUUUGAACGCACAUUGCGCUUGAGGCUUCGGCCAAGAGCAUGUCUGCCUCAGCGUCGGGUUAAUAUCGCCCCCUUUUACCUUUAUGGUUAAAGUUGGGCGGAUCUGGCUGUUCCAGCUAUGCAGUGUGUUUGCCUUAACCGGCUAACAUGCAUCACGCACCUGGAUCAGCUGAAGACCAGAGGCUAACCAAGGACCCGUCAAGGGCCGCAACUGGGUGGGCUGUCAAAAGCUAUAUUCUUAGUUGUUGGUCUGGGACUUUGUGUUCGGCCCUCAAACAGGAACCUA